GUCCUCUAGAGAUGGUGUUGAUGAUCUCAAUUGGAGGUCGAUAUUCAGGCUGUUCUUUCCUCCUUGAUGGCUCUGAUUGUGGUAGGGCCCUCGAUCGAUCUUCCCUACCUUCAGGCUGACGUAGGAUGAAUCUGUUGAACCAACCCCAUCUGAUGAGCUCCUCGAUCUCAUCUUGAAACUAAAUACACUCCUCUGUGUCAUGGCCAUGG
rnacentral:lncRNA from 1 species